UUCUUUUUUGAUAUGUAAAUAAUAUAUAUAUAUAGAAUGUAAAAAUAUACAAAUUUUUAGUGUUAAUAUUUAAAAUAAAUAAAAUAUAAAAUCCAUAGCCUUCCAUAGAAUUAUUAUGUUGGCAGAUUUUCUUAUCGUUAUAACCAUGAUUUUUAUAUUCGACAAUUUUAUGAUAAUAAUAAAAAGGAUUGGACAUACGAUUUACAUGAAAGCAAAACAAUCAUUCUUUUACUAUAUGACAGGCUAGAAGACAUUCAUUAUGCUUACAGACUUAUCAAUGGCAAGCGAUAUAUAGAUGCACGAACCGUUAUCAAAGAAAUUAGAGACACUAACAAUAUAGAAUAAGAUCCACAAUUUUCAGACGCGGAGAAGGCGUACGCGUUCACGCAAAAACUUCCCUAAGAAGAAUACUUGAAACUAAAAGCGAUAUGUACUCCAACAGAGUUUAGCAAUCCGUCAAUCGUACUCGAAAGAUUUAGACUAUUACAUCCAGACAAGUAUAUAACGUAAAGAAUUUAGUGAAGUUGUACAAGAAAAAAAUGAAACAUUCAGUGAUUGGAAGGAGAAACUAUGGAAAUAAAACAAAUAGA